rnacentral:rRNA from 1 species
AUUGAACGCUGGCGGCAGGCCUAACACAUGCAAGUCGAGCGGAUGAAGGGAGCUUGCUCCUGGAUUCAGCGGCGGACGGGUGAGUAAUGCCUAGGAAUCUGCCUGGUAGUGGGGGAUAACGUCCGGAAACGGGCGCUAAUACCGCAUACGUCCUGAGGGAGAAAGCGGGGGAUCUUCGGACCUCACGCUAUCAGAUGAGCCUAGGUCGGAUUAGCUAGUUGGUGGGGUAAAGGCCUACCAAGGCGACGAUCCGUAACUGGUCUGAGAGGAUGAUCAGUCACACUGGAACUGAGACACGGUCCAGGCUCCUACGGGAGGCAGCAGUGGGGAAUAUUGGACAAUGGGCGAAAGCCUGAUCCAGCCAUGCCGCGUGUGUGAAGAAGGUCUUCGGAUUGAAAAGCACUUUAAGUUGGGAGGAAGGGCAGUAAGUUAAUACCUUGCUGUUUUGACGUUACCAACAGAAUAAGCACCGGCUAACUUCGUG